rnacentral:rRNA from 1 species
GUCCUACGGGGCGCAGCAGUAGGGAAUUUUCGUCAAUGGGCGCAAGCCUGAACGAGCGAUGCCGCGUGAGUGAAGAAGGCCUUCGGGUCGUAAAGCUCUGUUGCGGGGGAAAAAAGGCAGCAUCAGGAAAUGGGUGCUGACUGAUGGUGCCCCGCCAGAAAGUCACGGCUAACUACGGGCCAGCAGCCGCGGUAAUACGUAGGCGGCGAGCGGUAUCCGGGAUGAUUGGGCGGAAAGGGUGCGCAGGCGGGCCUGCAAGUCUGGGGUGGAACGCAUGAGCUCAACUCAUGCAUGGCAUUGGCAAA